rnacentral:rRNA from 1 species
UGCGUAGGCGGGUCUUUAAGUCAGGGGUGAAAUCCUGGAGCUCAACUCCAGAACUGCCUUUGAUACUGAAGAUCUUGAGUUCGGGAGAGGUGAGUGGAACUGCGAGUGUAGAGGUGAAAUUCGUAGAUAUUCGCAAGAACACCAGUGGCGAAGGCGGCUCACUGGCCCGAUACUGACGCUGAGGCACGAAAGCGUGAGGAGCAAACA